GUACACUCCUACGGGAGGCAGCAGUGGGGAAUUUUGGACAAUGGGCGAAAGCCUGAUCCAGCAAUGCCGCGUGCAGGAUGAAGGCCUUCGGGUUGUAAACUGCUUUUGUACGGAACGAAAAAGCUCCUUCUAAUACAGGGGGCCCAUGACGGUACCGUAAGAAUAAGCACCGGCUAACUACGUGCCAGCAGCCGCGGUAAUACGUAGGGUGCGAGCGUUAAUCGGAAUUACUGGGCGUAAAGCGUGCGCAGGCGGUUAUGUAAGACAGAUGUGAAAUCCCCGGGCUCAACCUGGGAACUGCAUUUGUGACUGCAUGGCUAGAGUACGGUAGAGGGGGAUGGAAUUCCGCGUGUAGCAGUGAAAUGCGUAGAUAUGCGGAGGAACACCGAUGGCGAAGGCAAUCCCCUGGACCUGUACUGACGCUCAUGCACGAAAGCGUGGGGAGCAAACAGGAUUAGAUACCCGGGUAGUCCC
rnacentral:rRNA from 1 species